rnacentral:rRNA from 1 species
CCUACGGGAGGCAGCAGUGGGGAAUAUUGCACAAUGGGGGAAACCCUGAUGCAGCGACGCCGCGUGAGUGAAGAAGUAUUUCGGUAUGUAAAGCUCUAUCAGCAGGGAAGAAAAUGACGGUACCUGAUUAAGAAGCCCCGGCUAACUACGUGCCAGCAGCCGCGGUAAUACGUAGGGGGCAAGCGUUAUCCGGAUUUACUGGGUGUAAAGGGAGCGUAGACGGCAGCACAAGUCUGGAGUGAAAUGCCGGGGCUUAACCCCGGAACUGCUUUGGAAACUGUGCAGCUAGAGUGAAGGAGAGGUAUGUGGAAUGCCUAGUGUAGCGGUGAAAUGCGGAGAUAUUAGGAGGAACACCAGUGGCGAAGGCGGCUUACUGGACUGUAACUGACGUUGAGGCUCGAAAGCGUGGGGAGCAAACAGGAUUAGAUACCCUUGUAGUC